UCCAGCCCCUUCUCUCCCUACAGCCUCGGGUAAACCCCCCAUAACCCCUGCUCCCCCUGUGCCCCCCCCCCCAUUGCCUCUGACCCCCAGAUCUCCCCUCGUAAUCGCUGGGACCCCCUUUGCCCUCCCCAGGUAAACCUUCAGCUCACCCUACACGCAGCCCCCCCGCUCCCCACCUGGCUAAACCCACACCCCGAACCCACACCAGCCCCCUCCCCAUCAUCCCCACCCCGCCCCACCACUCAGGACCCUUCCCCAGCCUGCGCCGGACCGUCCUCCACGACGUCGCGGCAAGCCCGGGCAUGUCGCGACACAACAGGGAGAUAGCUGCGGCGGUCCCUGCGUUACUCUCUCACCUCCCGACAUCCCCCCGGCCCCCCCGGUCUCGCCACGGCCAGUCCCCGAGCCCACGUACCGUGAGCUGUAGCAGCAGCAGGAGCGGGCAGAGCCGCCGGAGCGCAGCGCAGCGCGUCCGGAGCAUCUUGCGCGGGAGGGAGCGGAGCGGAGCGGGACGGGCUCCACGACGGGAACGGCACCGAGGACGACUCGGAUAAAGGCCCGGGAAGAGUUUUGCUACAACGGCAUGGCUUCUAUCGAAGACGAAAGUGAAUGGAUGAAUGUAUGGAGCAGUGGGCGGUUUAUAUAAGCGGGCGGAGACGGAGGAGGAAGAGGAGGAGGAGGAGGAGAAGGAGGAGGAGGAGGAGGAGGGGUGGCCCGGGCUUCCCUGCCAAACCUCCUGCUCCUGCCACCAACCUGAAACCACACCAGGGUUUCAGUGUGGGCUUCGGUAACAGCCCGCUUCUCCAGCUUUUAAUAGCACUUUUGGUUUUUAGCGCAUCUUCUUCCCCUCCUCCCUCCCCCUUUUUCCCCCGCUGUCCUUUUCCCACGCCAAAAUCGAUUUGCAAACCUCUCAAACCAAAUAGGAGCCAUCAGGAAUGUUUCUCUCCCCCCUCCCCACACACCUUUAUCAGGCAUCAGUCGCUUUUGUCUUUGAGAGAAGACGCGGGUCCCUAAACACGGACCGGCAAAAAGCGCCGGCAAACGCGGGGGUGGCGCCGGGGCACGAAGGCACCGGAGGGCUCUGCUCAAACACUCGCCCGUCUUGCAAAAGUGUGGCUUCUGAGCUGGGAAGUGGGGAAAUUCCACCUCGGGUUUGUUGUCUGGGGGUUGUGGGUUCGAUGUUUUUCUUCUGGUGAGGUGGAACUUGAGUUGGAUGUGGUAAAAGAAAAAUAAAGUGAAACCUUUGGACUUGCUGCCGUUACACAACGAGUUGUGCUGCAGGAAGGAAAACGACUGGGGCAAAAGGAUGAUCUUAUUGGCACCAUGGGGGUGAGGAUUCAACAGCCCAAGGGUUCAAGAUCCCGCCCUGCCUCCCUCAAGGAUGACUCACCGGAGGCUGGGGGUGAAUAACUCGUGAGUGACUGUGGCUUUUCUAAGCACUUCCCAAGGCAGAGGCACUGGCAGGACUUAAAAGGAGCUCUGGCAUGAAGGAGCAGGGUGAGGGUGUUGCACACUGUGAGCUGCAACCCAGGCUCUGUAUCCAAACCAAGGCACCUGCCUGCUUCAAAACUGGACCAGAAACCUCUGGCUCAGCAGAUCAGGGGUUUGAGAUGAUCCAUAUUGCAUAAAAUCCAGCUUCCUGCUCAACCUUGGAAUGUCCCAUCCCAGAUGAAACCCCCGUGGGGGUGAGAAAAGCCUGCGACCACCCCACAGGUUCCUCCUGCUGCCCGCCCCAGCCUGCCACACGCAAGCCCCGAGACUCCACCAAAGGACUGGGCUGCUCUUGUUACAUCUCCUUGCACAGCUACAACAGAACAAAAAAGGUAGAAAUUGGUUUUGGGGGUUUAUACACUGAGUUUCCCCCCAGAUUUCCCAAAGCACAGGGAGACAUUCUUCAGCCAGUGUGUCCUUUUCAUUCCUACCCCAGACUACGUGGUUUUCCCCACAUCUAAACUUCCGAGAGGAGCUUUCUCGUGUGGCAGGGUGCCACGGGAGCAGGAUCAGGCCACCACUCGGCUCUUUUUCUUGCUGUGCAUGUGACACCCAGCUCUAACAGCCCCCAGGGCUGCAGGUUCAAGGCCGAUUCUGUCAGAUGGGAAAACAGGGCCCCGUGCGGUUCCUUUGAACGGGGCUCGUGGUCAGGUGCUUUGCCGACUUGUUUACUUUGCUGCCGGCAGCUCUUCCUUAGCAGGGAAGAGCCAGGCUGCUUUUUUGGCAGGAGAUCCUGGGGUAUGAAUGGCUUUGCAGAGAGAAGGAGACGUUGUUUUGGGGUUAACUGAAAGGAUUCAUGUAAAACCUCAGCUCAACGGGGAAAACUUGGAAGAAAGAAGAUUAAAAAUAGACUCUUGCCUCUGCUGAGUCAUCUCCUGCUUUAAAACAUGGAUCGUGUUGAAACAGCUCCUCUGGGACCUGCUGCUGUCCCUGCAGCAUCUUGUUCUGGUCAGGGGAAGAGAGCCAAGGCAGUGGUAAUCAAAUCCUUUGAACUUGACCAUGGGUGGCUUUUAUUUAUCGAUGUCGCUGCCCUUCGCUCACCGCGGCCGUGCGGUGCGGCAGAGCUGCCCUCAGCACACACCCCGAGCUUGAAUGAAACACAACCCCGGUGAAAACGAAACCGGCAGCCACCGCUGGUUGUAAGCAGCAUUGCAUGAGCACACCACAGCCCUGACAGCUCUGCAGCCUCCUGAAUAAAACCAGAGGGUAAACCAU